rnacentral:rRNA from 1 species
GACGAACGCUGGCGGCGUGCUUAACACAUGCAAGUCGAACGAGACGAUUGAAAGCUUGCUUUCGAAAGUCGAGUGGCAAACGGGUGAGUAACGCGUAGACAACCUGCCUUUGAGAUGGGGACAACAGUUCGAAAGGACUGCUAAUACCGAAUGUUGUAUAUUUUCCACAUGGAAGAUAUAUUAAAGAUGGCCUCUAUUUAUAAGCUAUCGCUCAAAGAUGGGUCUGCGUCUGAUUAGCUGGUUGGUGGGGUAACGGCCUACCAAGGCGACGAUCAGUAGCCGGUCUGAGAGGAUGAACGGCCACAUUGGGACUGAGACACGGCCCAGACUCCUGCGGGAGGCAGCAGUGGGGAAUCUUCCACAAUGGACGAAAGUCUGAUGGAGCAACGCCGCGUGAGUGAAGAAGGGUUUCGGCUCGUAAAGCUCUGUUGUCGGGGACGAAUGUGCAGUAUUUGAAUAAAGUACUGCAAUGACGGUACCUGACGAGGAAGCCACGGCUAACUACGUGCCAGCCGCCGCUCGUAA